GGGUGUGUAACUCAGUUGGUAGAGUAACCGGCUUUUAACCGGUAAGUCGUGAGUUCGAGCCUCACUACACCCACUA
rnacentral:tRNA from 2 species